UACGUAGGUGGCGAGCGUUGUCCGGAAUUACUGGGUGUAAAGGGAGUGUAGGCGGGAAGGCAAGUCAGAAGUGAAAAUUAUGGGCUUAACCCAUAACCUGCUUUUGAAACUGUUUUUCUUGAGUGAGGCAGAGGCAAGCGGAAUUCCUAGUGUAGCGGUGAAAUGCGUAGAUAUUAGGAGGAACACCAGUGGCGAAGGCGGCUUGCUGGGCCUUUACUGACGCUGAGGCUCGAAAGCGUGGGGAGCAAACAGGAUUAGAUACCCCGGUAGUGCUGACUGACU
rnacentral:rRNA from 1 species